rnacentral:rRNA from 1 species
CCUACGGGGGGCAGCAGUGGGGAAUAUUGCACAAUGGGGGAAACCCUGAAGCAGCGACGCCGCGUGAAGGAAGAAGGAUUUCGGUAUGUAAACUUCUAUUAUUAGGGAAGAAAAUGACGGUAUCUGACUAAUAAGCCCCGGCUAACUCCGUGCCAGCAGCCGCGGUACUACGUAGGGGGCAAGCGUUAUCCGGAUUUACUGGGCGUAAAGGGAGCGUAGGCGGAUUAGCAAGUCAGAAGUGAAAGCCUGUGGCUCAACUCCAGGACUGCUUUUGAAACUGUUGAACUAGAGUGAAGGAGAGGUAGGUGGAAUUCGUGGUGUAGCGGUGAAAUGCGUAGAGAUUAAGAGGAACACCAAUUGCGAAGGCGGCUUACUGGACUGUAAAUGACGCUGAGGCUCGAAAGCGUGGGGAGCAAACAGGAGUAGAUACCCCAGUAGUC